AACAACUUUUGGCAACGGAUCUCUUGGCUCUCGCAACGAUGAAGAACGCAGCGAAAUGCGAUAAGUAGUGUGAAUUGCAGAAUUCAGUGAAUCAUCGAAUCUUUGAACGCAUAUUGCGCUUCCUGGUAUUCCGGGGAGCAUGCUCGUUUCAGAAUC
rnacentral:rRNA from 1 species